ensembl:snoRNA
CCGAUACAAUGAUGACAGCAUAGUUCAGCAGAUUAACCAUGAAGAACAUUCAGCAUUGUCUUUCGCUCCUAUCUGAUGUAUCGG